CAGUAUGUUCUUUGAUAGCUUUCAAAGAACAUUUCUUUUCUGUUAAGUGAUUGACUAGACUGAUCAUUUAGUGGAGAAACUCCUUUUUAGAUCGAAAUAAAUGAGCAUUCCAUGCUUUAUAGAUUAUAGAACAUGUUUCUUGGGGAAGAUCAAAAUGGAAGGAUUCCACAGCUUUUAAAUUUUUAUUUAGUUCAUCAUAUA
rnacentral:lncRNA from 1 species